rnacentral:rRNA from 1 species
AUUGAACGCUGGCGGCAUGCCUUACACAUGCAAGUCGAACGGUAACAGGUCUUCGGAUGCUGACGAGUGGCGAACGGGUGAGUAAUACAUCGGAACGUGCCUAGUAGUGGGGGAUAACUACUCGAAAGAGUGGCUAAUACCGCAUGAGAUCUACGGAUGAAAGCAGGGGAUCGAAAGACCUUGUGCUACUAGAGCGGCCGAUGGCAGAUUAGGUAGUUGGUGGGAUAAAAGCUUACCAAGCCGACGAUCUGUAGCUGGUCUGAGAGGACGAUCAGCCACACUGGGACUGAGACACGGCCCAGACUCCUACGGGAGGCAGCAGUGGGGAAUUUUGGACAAUGGGCGAAAGCCUGAUCCAGCAAUGCCGCGUACAGGAUGAAGGCCUUCGGGUUGUAAACUGCUUUUGUACGGAACGAAAAGCCCCGGGUUAAUACCCUGGGGUCAUGACGGUACCGUAAGAAUGAGCACCGGCUAACUACGUGCCAGCCGCCGCCGUAA